GAUGAACGCUGGCGGCGUGCCUAAUACAUGCAAGUCGAGCGAACAGACGAGGAGCUUGCUCCUCUGACGUUAGCGGCGGACGGGUGAGUAACACGUGGAUAACCUACCUAUAAGACUGGGAUAACUUCGGGAAACCGGAGCUAAUACCGGAUAAUAUAUUGAACCGCAUGGUUCAAUAGUGAAAGACGGUUUUGCUGUCACUUAUAGAUGGAUCCGCGCCGCAUUAGCUAGUUGGUAAGGUAACGGCUUACCAAGGCGACGAUGCGUAGCCGACCUGAGAGGGUGAUCGGCCACACUGGAACUGAGACACGGUCCAGACUCCUACGGGAGGCAGCAGUAGGGAAUCUUCCGCAAUGGGUGAAGGCCUGACGGAGCAACGCCGCGUGAGUGAUGAAGGUCUUCGGAUCGUAAAACUCUGUUAUUAGGGAAGAACAAAUGUGUAAGUAACUAUGCACGUCUUGACGGUACCUAAUCAGAAAGCCACGGCUAACUACGUG
rnacentral:rRNA from 1 species